AAUCAACGCUGGCGGCGUGCCUAAUACAUGCAAGUCGAACGCGAAAGUGGAGCAAUCCAUGAGUAGAGUGGCAAACGGGUGAGUAACACGUGGGUGACCUGCCUUCGAGCGGGGGAUAACGUCCCGAAAGGGACGCUAAUACCGCAUAACAUCCUGUCUUUUAAGAGACGGAGAUCAAAGCCGGGGAUCGCAAGACCUGGCACUUGAAGAGGGGCCCGCGCCUGAUAGCUAGUUGGUGAGGUAACGGCUCACCAAGGCAACGAUCAGUAUCCGGCCUGAGAGGGCGGACGGACACACUGGGACUGAGACACGGCCCAGACUCCGUACGGGGGCAGCAGUGGGAAUCUUGCGCAAUGGCCGAAAGGCUGACGCAGCGACGCCGCGUGUGGGAUGAAGCAUUUCGGUGUGUAAACCACUGUU
rnacentral:rRNA from 1 species